rnacentral:tRNA from 1 species
CCCGUGAUAGCUCAGUUGGUAGAGCGGAGGACUGUAGUUGUCAUCUUAGCUAUCCUUAGGUCGCUGGUUCGAAUCCGGCUCGCGGGA